rnacentral:tRNA from 1 species
GUUAUCGUAGCUUACACUAUUUAUAAAGCAUGGCCCUGAAGCUGCCAAAACGGAGUCAAAACUCCCGAAAACA